AGAGUUUGAUCCUGGCUCAGGACGAACGCUGGCGGCGUGCUUAACACAUGCAAGUCGAACGGAAAGGCCCCUUCGGGGGUACUCGAGUGGCGAACGGGUGAGUAACACGUGGGUGAUCUGCCCUGCACUUUGGGAUAAGCCUGGGAAACUGGGUCUAAUACCGAAUAGGACCGCAUGCUUCAUGGUGUGUGGUGGAAAGCUUUUGCGGUGUGGGAUGGGCCCGCGGCCUAUCAGCUUGUUGGUGGGGUAAUGGCCUACCAAGGCGACGACGGGUAGCCGGCCUGAGAGGGUGUCCGGCCACACUGGGACUGAGAUACGGCCCAGACUCUUACGGGAGGCAGCAGUGGGGAAUAUUGCACAAUGGGCGCAAGCCUGAUGCAGCGACGCCGCGUGGGGGAUGACGGCCUUCGGGUUGUAAACCUCUUUCAGUAUCGGCGAAGCUCCAGGAUUUUUCUUGGGGUGACGGUAGGUACAGAAGAAGCACCGGCCAACUACGUGCCAGCAGCCGCGGUAAUACGUAGGGUGCGAGCGUUGUCCGGAAUUACUGGGCGUAAAGAGCUCGUAGGUGGUUUGUCACGUUGUCCGUGAAAACUCACAGCUUAACUGUGGGCGUGCGGGCGAUACGGGCAGACUGGAGUACUGUAGGGGAGACUGGAAUUCCUGGUGUAGCGGUGGAAUGCGCAGAUAUCAGGAGGAACACCGGUGGCGAAGGCGGGUCUCUGGGCAGUAACUGACGCUGAGGAGCGAAAGCGUGGGGAGCGAACAGGAUUAGAUACCCUGGUAGUC
rnacentral:rRNA from 1 species